rnacentral:tRNA from 1 species
GUGGGUAUAGCUCAGUGGUAGAAUACAUGCUUAGCGUACAUGAGGUCCUGGGUUCAAUCCCCAGGACUCCCA